rnacentral:rRNA from 1 species
AGAGUUUGAUCCUGGCUCAGAAUGAACGUUGGCGGCGUGGAUUAGGCAUGCAAGUCGUGCGGCAGCGGGCCCUUCGGGGUGCCGGCGAGCGGCGAAAGGGAGAGUAACGCGUGGGUCACCUACCUUUAGACCCGGGAUAGCAGCGGGAAACUGCUGGUAAUACCGGAUAAUGUCUCCGGACCAAAGGUGUGAUUCCGUCUAGAGAUGGGCCCGCGUCCUAUUAGCUUGUUGGUGGGGUAAUGGCCUACCAAGGCUGUGAUGGGUACCGGGUGUGAGAGCAUGGCCCGGCUCACUGGGACUGAGACACUGCCCAGACACCUACGGGUGGCUGCAGUCGAGAAUCUUCGGCAAUGGGCGCAAGCCUGACCGAGCGACGCCGCGUGCGGGAUGAAGGCCUUCGGGUUGUAAACCGCUGUCAGAGGGGAAGAAAUGUUAGUAGGUUCUCCUACUCAUUUGACUGAUCCUCAGAGGAAGCACGGGCUAAGUUCGUGCCAGCAGCCGCGGUAACACGAACCGUGCGAACGUUAUUCGGAAUCACUGGGCUUAAAGA